rnacentral:rRNA from 1 species
CGUAGGAAUCUGCCCUGUAGUGGGGGACAACUUAGGGAAACUUAAGCUAAUACCGCAUACGCUCCUUCUCGGAAGAGGGGGAGGAAAGCGGGGGACCUUCGGGCCUCGCGCUAUGGGAUGAGCCUGCGUUGGAUUAGCUAGUUGGCAGGGUAAAGGCCUACCAAGGCGACGAUCCAUAGCUGGUCUGAGAGGACGAUCAGCCACACUGGACUGAGACACGGCCCAGACUCCUACGGGAGGCAGCAGUGGGGAAUAUUGGACAAUGGGCGCAAGCCUGAUCCAGCAAUACCGCGUGUGUGAAGAAGGCCUGAGGGUUGUAAAGCACUUUCACUGGGGAGGAAAAAGUGGCGGCCAAUACCCGUUACCUUGACAUUACCUAGAGAAGAAGCACCGGCUAACUCCGUGCCAGCAGCCGCGGUAAUACGGAGGGUGCGAGCGUUAAUCGGAAUUACUGGGCGUAAAGCGUGCGUAGGCGGCCUGUUAAGUCAGAUGUGAAAGCCCUGGGCUCAACCUGGGAACGGCAUUUGAAACUGGCAAGCUAGAGUUAGGUAGAGGGGAGUGGAAUUUCAGGUGUAGCGGUGAAAUGCGUAGAUAUCUGAAGGAACACCAGUGGCGAAGGCGGCUCCCUGGACCCAAACUGACGCUGAGGUAAAAGCGUGGGUAGCAAACAGGAUUAGAUACCCUGGUAGUCCACGCCGUAAACGAUGUCGACUAGCCGUUGGGCCCUUAUAGGGUUUAGUGGCGCAGCUAACGCAUUAAGUCGACCGCCUGGGGAGUACGGCCGCAAGGUUAAAACUCAAAUGAAUUGACGGGGGCCCGCACAAGCGGUGGAGCAUGUGGUUUAAUUCGAUGCAACGCGAAGAACCUUACCUGGGCUUGAACUGCAGAUGACCAGCUACGAAAGUGGCCUCCCGCAAGGGCGUCUGUAGAGGUGCUGCAUGGCUGUCGUCAGCUCGUGUCGUGAGAUGUUGGGUUAAGUCCCGCAACGAGCGCAACCCUUGUCCGCUGUUGCCAUCAGGUAACGCUGGGCACUCUGCGGAGACUGCCGGUGACAAACCGGAGGAAGGUGGGGAUGACGUCAAGUCAGCAUGGCCUUUAUGUCCAGGGCUACACACGUGCUACAAUGGCCGGUACAAACCGUCGCGAGCCCGCGAGGGGGAGCUAAUCGGAUAAGGCCGGUCUCAGUUCGGAUUGUAGGCUGCAACUCGCCUGCAUGAAGUCGGAAUCGCUAGUAAUCGCGGAUCAGCACGCCGCGGUGAAUACGUUCCCGGGCCUUGUACACGCCGCCCGUCACAUCACGAAAGCUGGCUGUACUAGAAAUCGCCGAGCUAACCCGCAAGGGAGGCAAGCGCUUAAGGUAUGGUUAGUGAUUGGGGUGAAGUCGUAACAAGGUA